rnacentral:rRNA from 1 species
AAAACAUGUCUUAUUGAAUUUAAUUUUAAGUCUAAUCUGCUCCAUGAAUUAAAAUUUUAAAUAGCUGCAGUAUACUGACUGUACAAAGGUAGCAUAAUCAAUAGUUUUUUAAUUGAAAGCUGGUAUGAAAGAUUGAAUAAGGUAAAUAUUGUUUCAAAUAUAAUAAAAUUAUAAUUUUUUUUUAAGUAAAAAUACUUAAAUAAUUUUAAAAGACGAGAAGACCCUAUAGAUUUUUAUAUUUGAAAUUUAAAAUAUUAAAAUAAAAUAAUAAAUUUAACUAGAAAAAUAUUUGGUUGGGGAAAUUAUUAAAUUGAUUAAAUUUUAAAAAAUUUAAACAAUAAUUAUUGAAUAUUUGACCUUAAUAAAAAUUGAAUAAUAAGAAUAAAUUACCUUAGGGAUAACAGCGUAAUUUUUUUAGAGAGACCUAAUUGAUAAAAAAGUUUGCGACCUCGAUGUUGAAUUAAGAUAAAAUUUUAAUGCAGAAGUUAAAAAUUUUUGG